rnacentral:lncRNA from 1 species
AUGAGCACAGUGUGUUCUCUAUCUCUGACAUCAGCAAUGGUGUUGUCUGUUUUAGUGCAAGCAUCAGCUCAGACAGCAAAAACACUGGAUAGUCCCCACUGCGGGCAGCAGGAAGCUCUGGAGCCAGGACACCGGGGCGAACAGGAGAAACAUUCCAGUGUCCAUAAUUUCAAGACAGCUAUCACCAGGAACAACAGUGUCUCUUCUGCUGAUCCAGCGAAGCAGCUGUCCCUGAGACGGCACUGGAGAAGGACACUGCAGAGAGGAGAGACACUGCGAGCCAGUGAUCCAUCCACUUCACUGCAAGACCCAACAGAUGGAACAGAAAUAAGAAGCCCAGAGCUGCAGACAGUUCCUUCAAGUACACUGAGAAGACAGGCCAGGUGGGCAACCAUCGGCUAACUCAACAGGACGUGUGUGUGAUAUCUCAGCUCUCACCAGAUUAGGGUCUGCAUUGAGAGUAAAACUCUGAGCGGCAGGCUGAGCAGCUCAAGAUCUUCCACUAGAGCUGAAGACAGGGGGGAUAUGGAGACAUUCAGAUACCAAGAGCAUCUCUCUGGUUUUUUCUGAAGGUACUGCUCCAGGACACUUCCUAAACCUUACCCUAUCAGGCCUUAAAAAGGGAUUAUACAACUUGUAAAAGCUCUCACUGUGGCCCUUUUUGUUUUCAUAAUGCUGUGACUUGGAGGAGUUUACACACUGCCUUAGAACACUCAGAAUCCCUCUCUCUCUCUCUUCCAUAAAUUCAACUGAAACAGUAAAAAUUACUCAGCUGUGUAAAUGGGUAAAUUGUUGUAAAGUAUCUUGAGAUUCCUUUGCAGGAAAAGUGUCAGCUAAAUGAACGACUCAGUAGUAAUCACACUACUAAUACUACUAAUUAUAAAAUAAAGGAACACUGUUUAUUAUCA